rnacentral:rRNA from 1 species
CAAUAAGCGGAGGAAAAGAACCCAACAGGGAUUGCCUCAGUAACGGCGAGUGAAGCGGCAUCAGCUCAGAUUUGAAAUCUGGCCCCUUCGGGGUCCGAGUUGUAAUCUGUAGAGAGUGCUUCGGGUGAGACCACGGUCUAAGUCCAUUGGAACAUGGCGUCACAGAGGGUGAGAAUCCCGUAUGUGACUGUGGCUCGAGCCCAUGUGAAGCCUCUUCGACGAGUCGAGUUGUUUGGGAAUGCAGCUCAAAAUGGGUGGUAAAUUUCAUCUAAAGCUAAAUACUGGCUGGAGACCGAUAGCGCACAAGUAGAGUGAUCGAAAGAUGAAAAGCACUUUGGAAAGAGAGUCAAACAGUACGUGAAAUUGUUGAAAGGGAAGCGCUGGCAACCAGACCUGUCCGUAGGUGAUCAGCCGCUGUUCUCAGUGGUGCACUCGCUCUACGAUCAGGCCAGCAUCGGUUCUGGCGGUCGGAUAAAGGCCUUGGGAAUGUAGCUCCCUCUCGGGGGAGUCUUAUAGCCCUCGGUGCAAUGCGGCCAGCCGGGACCGAGGACCGCGCUUCGGCUAGGAUGCUGGCGUAAUGGUUGUCAGCGACCCGUCUUGAAACACGGACCAAGGAGUCUAACAUCUAUGCGAGUGUUUGGGUGUCAAACCCAUGCGCGGAAUGAAAGUGAACGGAGGUGAGAACCCUUAAGGGCGCAUCAUCGACCGAUCCAGAUGUCUUCGGAUGGAUUUGAGUAUGAGCAUAGCUGUUGGGACCCGAAAGAUGGUGAACUAUGCCUGAAUAGGGUGAAGCCAGAGGAAACUCUGGUGGAGGCUCGCAGCGGUUCUGACGUGCAAAUCGAUCGUCAAAUUUGGGUAUAGGGGCGAAAGACUAUC